ACCAGAAGAGGUUAUCGAGCAGCGUCACCCUGGGGGAGUGAGUCUAAAAAUUAAAUCAUAGUGAGAAAAAAGUCAAACAGGAUACUAGCAAAAGUCGUGAAUAAUAAAUAAAAUAAUAAAGUCGAAGACGGCCUUUUUACACAUUUUAGUGACCGAUAUCACGGUGUCACUCUAUUUAAUAUGAGAAUGUGACUCCCGACACCACUGGUCGAGGUAGCCAUGGUAACAGCAGUUGGUUAUUGAAUAACAAACAGAAAGAUAAAGUCGAGUUAAUUAUUCCAAUCGAUGCGGAAAUAGUGUUAUAUUUUGACGCCGUACCGAAGUACGGCAUAGGAGGGUAGAGACCGCCGGAAAGUAUAAGUGAAUUCAGUAACACUCAGAAUUUGAGUGAUUUUUAAAUAUAAAAUCGUAGGUCUCUACCGAAGGUGGAGGCAGAUGUAAACAUGAAAAUGUGACAAAAAUGGGCAAAAAAGCAGUAAAAGGUAAGCAUUUUUCUGGUAAAUGCUAAGCUAUUAAUCAUAGGAUAGAUCCAGUACAAAAGCGCAUGAGGCAACAAAAUGCACUAGAAAUAUACAAAUAGGAUGAUGAGAACCACUAUAGUACCGGUAAGGUACCGGUAUCAUGCUAUAUUAGUUAAAUAAAGCUGCACUUAAUAAAUACCAAUAAUUGAUAAUAAUAUCUUAAUAAAUAACAAUAAUACGAGUUAACGCUUGUAGUAUUAAGAGAUAGUUGUUUAUCAGGCGUUAACUCAAAAAUAGGCACUUGUGUGUGACUGUAUGACCACGGAAAUCUGAGUUAGAUUGGAGGUAAGAAAACUGGCAAUAAAUAAAGCAGUUCAAAAAUUCUAUAAGAUUGCACACAUCAAUAAAUAUAGAGUAUAACAAGAAUAGGGAUGAAUUAUGAUGAUUCCACAGUAACAUUGCAAUAUAUAAAAUACAACAAGCAUUUAACAGCAAAUAAACAGGUCUCUUCAUUACAGGCAGGCUGUGGAUCGAGUUGAAUAUGACCUUGAUGGACACAAAGCAAGGAUAAAAUAUGAAACAGCGACUUGGAAAAUUCAGUGUUCAUAUUUAGCUGAAGUGUAGUCGGAUCCUUCGCGCUGGUGAGCAAGCAUGCAUCAUCUGCAAAUAGUUUACUCAAAAGAUUCGAGCUGUUGGAAAGGUCGUUUAUGAAACAUAAGAACGCUAAUGGGCCAACUACUGAGCCCUGAACAAUUCCGCAGUGGAUGGGUAACAUUGGGGAUCUAUGGGGACCUAUUUCAACAAAUUGAUACCGGCCUGUCAGGUCCCUGAUUACACAGAGAACUUCUAAAGGUGAUGUUGACUCAAG